GAUGAACGCUGGCGGCGUGCCUAAUACAUGCAAGUCGAGCGAACGGACGAGGAGCUUGCUUCUCUGAUGUUAGCGGCGGACGGGUGAGUAACACGUGGAUAACCUACCUAUAAGACUGGGAUAACUUCGGGAAACCGGAGCUAAUACCGGAUAAUAUUUUGAACCGCAUGGUUCAAUAGUGAAAGACGGUCUUGCUGUCACUUAUAGAUGGAUCCGCGCCGCAUUAGCUAGUUGGUAAGGUAACGGCUUACCAAGGCAACGAUGCGUAGCCGACCUGAGAGGGUGAUCGGCCACACUGGAACUGAGACACGGUCCAGACUCCUACGGGAGGCAGCAGUAGGGAAUCUUCCGCAAUGGGCGAAAGCCUGACGGAGCAACGCCGCGUGAGUGAUGAAGGUCUUCGGAUCGUAAAACUCUGUUAUUAGGGAAGAACAAAUGUGUAAGUAACUGCGCACGUCUUGACGGUACCUAAUCAGAAAGCCACGGCUAACUACGUG
rnacentral:rRNA from 1 species